rfam:Oryza nivara chromosome 12, whole genome shotgun sequence.
AAACUACUCCCUCCGUUUCAUAAUGUAAGUCAUUCUAAUAUUGCCCAUAUGCAUAUAGAUAUUAAUGAAUCUAGACUUAUAUCUAUAUGAAUGUAGACAAUGCUAGAAUGACUUACAUUAUGAAACGGAGGAAGUACAUU